rnacentral:rRNA from 1 species
GGAUUCGNAUGGGGGAACCCUGACGCAGCACGCCGCGUGGAGGAUGAAGUCCUUCGGGACGUAAACUCCUUUCGAUCGGGACGAUAAUGACGGUACCGGAAGAAGAAGCCCCGGCUAACUUCGUGCCAGCAGCCGCGGUAAUACGAGGGGGGCGAGCGUUGUUCGGAAUUAUUGGGCGUAAAGGGUGCGUAGGCGGUUUGGUAAGUCUUCUGUGAAAUCUAUGGGCUCAACUCAUAGACUGCAUGAGAAACUGCCGGGCUUGAGUGUGGGAGAGGUGAGUGGAAUUUCCGGUGUAGCGGUGAAAUGCGUAGAUAUCGGAAGGAACACCUGUGGCGAAAGCGGCUCACUGGACCACAACUGACGCUGAUGCACGAAAGCUAGGGGAGCAAACAGGAUUAGAUACCCUGGUAGUCCUAGCCCUAAACCAUGACUGCUUGGUGUGACGGGUACCCAAUCCCGCCGUGCCGGAGCUAACGCGUUAAGCAGUCCGCCUGGGGAGUACGGUCGCAAGGCUGAAACUCAAAAAAAUUGACGGA